ANUGAAUGGUACAGUGAGUUGGCGCUGGGAU
rnacentral:piRNA from 1 species